AGUGAACGCUGGCGGUAGGCCUAACACAUGCAAGUCGAACGGCAGCACAGUAAGAGCUUGCUCUUACGGGUGGCGAGUGGCGGACGGGUGAGGAAUACAUCGGAAUCUACUUUUUCGUGCGGGAUAACUUCGGGAAACCGGAGCUAAUACCGGAUAAUAUAUUGAACCGCAUGGUUCAAUAGUGAAAGACGGUUUUGCUGUCACUUAUAGAUGGAUCCGCGCCGCAUUAGCUAGUUGGUAAGGUAACGGCUUACCAAGGCAACGAUGCGUAGCCGACCUGAGAGGGUGAUCGGCCACACUGGAACUGAGACACGGUCCAGACUCCUACGGGAGGCAGCAGUAGGGAAUCUUCCGCAAUGGGCGAAAGCCUGACGGAGCAACGCCGCGUGAGUGAUGAAGGUCUUCGGAUCGUAAAACUCUGUUAUUAGGGAAGAACAAAUGUGUAAGUAACUAUGCACGUCUUGACGGUACCUAAUCAGAAAGCCACGGCUAACUACGUG
rnacentral:rRNA from 1 species